rnacentral:lncRNA from 1 species
UUUAUUUUAUUUGUAUUUUCAUCUUUCAUGUCAAAUGACAAAUGCAAUUCUCACACAAUUCACAUAUAAAUAAACAUUCAUAUACUUUUAAUAAUUUACAUCUCAUUAACAUGUAAUUCAUUCACAUUCUAUACAAACAAACAAAGUUAAACCAUUAACAUAUAUUAUUCAGACUAAUUUCAUUUCUAAAGAUUUUUUUCAGAAUAAAGAAUCAAUAAAACAGACAAAAUAAUGUUAACCUUCAGGCUUGGACUGGUGCAGAUUUAUGAUAAUACAAAUAUUGAAAAACUUUAUAUAUAACGCACUCACCCAUUCAGAAUUUCUAAACUGACAUUUGAACUUUGAUAGAUAGUUGUCUCAUUUAUAGCAAUCACAUCACAUCUCUUUAUUUUCAUAAUGAUUGAAACAGUGAAAACUAGUACAGAAAGAUUGAAUAAAAGAAAAAUUUGUCUAAGAAAAUAGAUGCCCCUACUCAACCAUUGAACAAAAGAAAUGGGACGGACAGACAAACAAAAGUAGCAUAAACACAACAUUAUAAAGUAUGACUUUCAUAAAAAUGAUCAUGCAGAACAACUAAAUCCUGGUUGAAAUUUUUCAAAGUGUUAACAUGUAAACUUGACUUCAGUGGUAUAGUUAUAGGUUUUCAUCACAAAAGAGAACAAGAUAAUGUUGGAUAUCAACUCCUGUUGUUUAAAUUCAAUACAUGUAUAACAAUAAACCAGCAUUUGUGCAUUUGAGAUGUGUAUCAUUUAUAUUGAAAUUAAAUAAAGAGAGAUGGCUACAACCAUAAGAAAAUUUUGACAAACUUCAACUUGUCUACAGUGAAAUUAGAUAUGUUAAAUAUACAAAGAUGUGUUCCUGCAAGAGAGUAUUGAGUUAAAACUUCACAGCUAGAUUUUGAUUUUAGAGAAAAUACAUCAACAUUUGUUUGAUUAAUCAUAAUUUCAUAGAACAAUAGGAUAAAACCAAUAUAAUGAUUAUCAUGUAAAAUAUACUAUAAAAUCAGUCCAAAACUUUUUUUAGUACAAUUUUAGGGUUUUUGUCUUAUUAUCAUGUGGGCCCCUCACAUGACUCAAUGUCCUGGAUCUCAUAUUGAACGUAUUGUAUAUUGUUAAUAUCUUAGUAAUAUUAACUGUGCACACA